AACCCUGAACUGAGCCUCCUCUCCACUGUCGCUGGCCCCCAGAGCCAGCAAAAUGUUAGUAUAUGUGGGCUUUUAAAAAAUAGGUGUAAAGAAGAAGCCCGCCGGGCAUGCCGAGCAGGAAAGAAGCAGCUGGCACUGAGGUCUCUCAAGGCCAAGCAACGGACAGAGAAGCGCAUCGAGGCCUUGCAUGCCAAGCUGGACACUGUUCAAGGCAUCCUGGACCGGAUCUAUGCCUCCCAGACAGAUCAGAUGGUUUUUAACGCCUACCAGGCUGGGGUAGGAGCACUCAAACUCUCCAUGAAGGAUGUCACAGUGGAGAAGGCAGAGAGCCUCGUGGAUCAGAUCCAAGAGCUCUGUGACACCCAGGAUGAAGUUUCUCAGACUCUGGCUGGUGGGGUAACAAAUGGCUUAGAUUUUGACAGUGAAGAACUGGAGAAGGAAUUGGACAUCCUCCUUCAGGAUACCACCAAAGAACCUUUGGAUCUGCCUGACAACCCCCGCAAUAGGCAUUUUACCAACAGUGUGCCUAACCCUAGGAUCUCAGAUGCUGAACUU
rnacentral:sRNA from 1 species